GCGCAUAAUGUUUGAAAUUUUGCACACAUUUACAAUAAUUGUAAAUGUGUUGAAAAUCGUUUGCACAACUGUG
rnacentral:pre_miRNA from 1 species